GCGUCGGUGGUACAAAAGUUUAGCACAUGCUCCCGGGAAGAGCAAGAUCUGGGUUUGAAUCCCGGCUGACGCA